AAGGUCGCCGCUGCUGUCACGCCCUUGUCUGGAGCCAUCGCCGCCGUCUGGAGCGGCUGCUGCUUCGCCUGGAGUCGCCGCCGACUGCUGCUGCUCGUCCGGUGGUCAGCGAUCGUCGUCUGGGAGAGCGCCGUCGUCGGUCGCUGCUGCUCCUUCGUUCGGAAUCCGGAGAAUCAGUCGGCCUCUCUCAACAUCAGUCGAGAUUCAGUCGCCUUCUAUGCUCCAACCGGCGUCGGCUGCCGCCGAGCUUAGGUCCGGCGUCGUUCAGCUUCCGCCAGUUCCGUCCGGCGUCGGGGUUCGGCAGUUGCUUGGGCAGUCGGCCCUUAUUCUCCAAAGCUAAGUUUAACUUCUAUGCUAUUAUAAAUCCUCGUUCGUGAAUCUCUUGAUGAACUAUAGCUAUCAAAGUGUAAUAUACACCCAUUUCCUGAAGCUUUUAUUCUAUGUCGAUUAUGCAAGGGUUCUACUAGCUAUAGUGGUCUGUUUCUGUAUCAAGAGUUUCUUAGUGCCUUGUGAAGGAAACAUAGGUAAAAAUUUGAUUUCGUGAUUGCUUAAUCCAUCUAUGCAUAUAUAUACACACCUGUAUACUAUGUAUUUCCUUUUAAACAUAUGCUUGAUGAUAUGAUGUAUGAACUGGAGCUGAGCUUAGUAUAUACCUUCUAUGCUUGUUGUUGGUGGCUUUUGUUGUUGAUUUCUCCAGAUGAUGGAUGGGAGUGAGUUGCUGUAAAUUGAUGUUUGUGAUGGUGUUCGACUAUGCAAGAAAUUCUCUGUUAUAACAUUGCUGCAGGUAUAAGGGAAUGUUAAUGCAUUCUUGCGUGUGGUGGUGGGGAAGGGAGUUGGUGGAGUGCAAAGCUUGGUGGAGAGCAAAGCUUGGUGGACACACCUUUUCCUUUUCCCUUUUCUUAUUCUUCUUUCUCUUUUCUUCUUUAUGCAAAU
rnacentral:lncRNA from 1 species